GACGAACGCUGGCGGCGUGCUUAACACAUGCAAGUCGAACGGAAAGGCCCUGCUUUUGUGGGGUGCUCGAGUGGCGAACGGGUGAGUAACACGUGAGUAACCUGCCCUUGACUUUGGGAUAACUUCAGGAAACUGGGGCUAAUACCGGAUAGGAGCUCCUGCUGCAUGGUGGGGGUUGGAAAGUUUCGGCGGUUGGGGAUGGACUCGCGGCUUAUCGGCUUGUUGGUGGGGUAGUGGCUUACCAAGGCUUUGACGGGUAGCCGGCCUGAGAGGGUGACCGGCGACAUUGGGACUGAGAUACGGCGCAGACUCCUACGGGAGGCAGCAGUGGGGAAUAUUGCACAAUGGGCGGAAGCCUGAUGCAGCAACGCCGCGUGCGGGAUGACGGCCUUCGGGUUGUAAACCGCUUUCGCCUGUGACGAAGCGUGAGUGACGGUAAUGGGUGAAGAAGCACCGGCUAACUACGUG
rnacentral:rRNA from 1 species